rnacentral:lncRNA from 1 species
AUGUGGAAGGGCCAUGUAUUUAAUAAACGUAGGAGAGUCCUCGACGGUGAAGACCUCUUUGUGAACAAGAGUGAAGGGCCAUUCAAGAGUGUAGAAGAUAUCUGGGACCAUGAAGAUUAGACAAUAACACUUGCAUCAAGUUACUGUGUUUAUCUUUUAUUUCUUCUUUCCUUUGUUUGCAAGGCACUUGGUAGCAUUAGUUUUAAUUUACUAGUAGUUUAUAAAAAUGAGUUAAGAUAGCUUUUACACAUCAAGGUGCAAGAACUCUGUAAGCACAUAUUUCAUAUCCAAAAUCUAGAGUAUCCAAAAUUU